AUUGAACGCUGGCGGCAGGCUUAACACAUGCAAGUCGAGCGGAGAUGAGGUGCUUGCACCUUAUCUUAGCGGCGGACGGGUGAGUAAUGCGUAGGAAGCUGCCCAAUAGAGGGGGAUACCAGUUGGAAACGACUGUUAAUACCGCAUAAUGUCUACGGACCAAAGUGUGGGACCUUCGGGCCACAUGCUAUCGGAUGCGCCUACGUGGGAUUAGCUAGUUGGUGAGGUAAUGGCUCACCAAGGCGACGAUCUCUAGCUGGUGUGAGAGGAUGAUCAGCCACACUGGAACUGAGACACGGUCCAGACGCCUACGGGAGGCAGCAGUGGGGAAUAUUGGACAAUGGGCGCAAGCCUGAUCCAGCCAUGCCGCGUGUGUGAAGAAGGCCUUCGGGUUGUAAAGCACUUUCAGCGAGGAGGAAGGGUGGUGUGUUAAUAGCACAUCAUUUUGACGUUACUCGCAGAAGAAGCACCGGCUAACUCUGUGCCAGCAGCCGCAGUAACAC
rnacentral:rRNA from 1 species